AAGGGCUUAGCUUAAAUUAAAGUGGUUGAUUUGCGUUCAAUUGAUGCAGAGUAGGUGUUUGCAGUCCUUA
rnacentral:tRNA from 1 species